rnacentral:sRNA from 1 species
CUUCUUCGAUCUGUUGUGGACAGAUGAAAUGAAUGUGGGCAUCGAUACCGCCGGCAGUCAGAAUCUGACCCUCGCCGGCGAUCACCUCGGUGCCCGGCCCGAUCAAAAUAUCGACGCCGGCCUGGAUAUCCGGAUUGCCGGCCUUGCCGAUACCGGCAAUGCGUCCAUCCUUGAUGCCAAUAUCGGCCUUGACAAUGCCCCAGUGGUCCAGGAUCAGCGCGUUGGUGAUGACGCUGUCCAUCACCUCGUCCGCCUGGCGCUGACACUGGCCCAUGCCGUCCCGGAU